rnacentral:lncRNA from 1 species
CCAAGGCAAAAGGGAGGAUAAAUAAUAUGGAUGAGAAGCUACAAACCAAAAGAAAUAGAGGAGCAAUGGGGAACAAGUGUAAACACAGUCAAACACACCCAAACCUCUAAUUCAAUCCCCUUCUUGACUCCAUUAUUCAUAUUUUUUAUUUUUCUCAUUUUUUUUUCUGUAUUUUUUUCAUCUUGUCUCUUUUCUUUUCUCUCUAUUUAGAACACAACUAUAAGAGACGAGAUACACAACAUAUUUACAAAAAUAAAACAAGAAGAGGAAC